rnacentral:rRNA from 1 species
UACAGAGGUCUCAAGCGUUGUUCGGAUUCAUUGGGCGUAAAGGGUGCGUAGGCGGCGCCGUAAGUCAGGUGUGAAAUUUCGGAGCUUAACUCCGAAACUGCAUUUGAUACUGCGGUGCUUGAGGACUGGAGAGGAGACUGGAAUUUACGGUGUAGCAGUGAAAUGCGUAGAGAUCGUAAGGAAGACCAGUGGCGAAGGCGGGCCUCUGGACAGUUCCUGACGCUGAGGCACGAAGGCCAGGGGAGCAAACGGGG